rnacentral:rRNA from 1 species
UACGGGGGGGGCAAGCGUUGUUCGGAAUUACUGGGCGUAAAGGGGCUCGUAGGCGGCCAACUAAGUCAGACGUGAAAUCCCCUCGGCUUAACCGGGGGAACUGCGUCUGAUACUGGAUGGCUUGAGGUUGGGGAGAGGGGAUGCGGAAUUCCAGGUGUAGCGGUGAAAUGCGUAGAUAUCUGGAGGAACACCGGUGGCGAAGGCGGCAUCCUGGACCAAUUCUGACGCUGAGGAGCGAAAGCCAGGGGGAGCAAAACGGGG